rnacentral:tRNA from 1 species
GUGCUGGUGGUGGGGGUGGCCGCCGCGGGUUGGUUCGUGGUCAACCACGUCCUGGUCGGCACGGCGGUACGGCUGCGCUUCGGCGACC